UAUAUAUAAUCUUGCUUGGUGAAUUUUACAGCAACACUUGAAGUGGACGAUGAUGUUAAUAAUGUAGUUUAGCCGGUGGUACUGUUGGUUCAGGUUGUUAAUACAGUAGUAAUGGUUGUGUUAGCAGCGGCGGCGGCGGCGAAUACGCAGAUACAACGUGGCGGUGGCGGCGGCAGCAGCCGCCAUUUAUAACUCCGACAUCUGCAGAACAGUUGGAACAGUGUUCAAAUGACGAGUAAGACAAGACUACAUCCAAACAAGCCAUGUGUAAAGUGCUUCGCCUUGGUUAUCACAGACCAUCAUUGCUCCCCAUCCUUUACUACCCUCGAAGCCCUUGCUGACGGCUGUGUGUAGUUGCUCCGAUUCAGACUGGAGGUGUUGCUGGCAUCUUGCAUGACUGGAUGAAGACACAUGCUUCAAUAGAUAAGAAAAGAAAGAGAAACUGUGUAAGUGUAUCUGUGGUUGUGUCUGUGUGUGCGUACCAAUGUUUAGCAGUAUCCGUGUUGAAAAGAGAGUGAAUGUACGAAUGAAUGAAUGAACGAGUAAAUGUUUUAAAAAGUGAGCGCGAAUGAAUGAAUGAAUGAAUGAAUGAACGUGUGUGUGUGUGUGCCUGCAUCGGAGAAAAACUGAAAGCGAGAGAAAGAAAGCGUGUAUUUGAAUAGAUGUAUCAUAAAACUGAAUGUGAGUGUGAGAGAGAGAGAGAAAGAGAAGGAGAAUGAUAAAGAGUGAGAGAGAAUCGAAAGACAGUAAACGACAACGGUCAAGAAAAAGAAAAAAGAAAAAUCGAGGAGAAGCUGAUUUUUUUACUACCCACUUAAAGCUUACUCUGUCACGGAUAUAUAUAUAUAGAUAUGUAUACAUAAAAAAAUGAAUUCCGAAGGCUCGGGAGAAAUAAGGAAAGUCCCGCUGAAGACGGCGAUAAAAAAAAAGUCGAUUAACACAGAAAAUCCAAAACUGGAAAGCGCUAUCUUUUUGUUCUUUAAUAUCAAAAAUCUUUUAUUUAAAUUUUUUUUUUCUGCAAGGUUUGUUUUUUUUUUUUCAUCUUGAUCAGAACUGCACAGAUGUAUAUCAACUAACGAAGAAUGAUUGCAAAUAUAUAUAUGUGUGUGUGUGUGUGUGUGUAUUUGGUAGAGUUUUCUCCGCUCAUGCGGCACUUUUCUGCCCCAUCGUUCAGAGGACGGACUUAAUAACAAGCUUUUGUUUUUCUUUUAAAAGAAAGAACAUAUGUUUAAAGAGUGACAGUGCGAGAUAGAAAAGCAUGUGAAAAGUCGUGAGACGAUCGAAAGAGAAAGUGAGAGAGAAAGAAAAUAACAAGGUGAAAAGCUCUGCAAAUACAGUUAAAUAGCAUUUCUCCUAUAUAUGUAUUCCUUAGAAUAUUAAGCAAAAAAAAUUGUUUAUAUAUAUACACAGAGAGAGAGAGAGUGUGUGUGUGUGAGACUUUACAGUACCUUAAUGACCUGUGUGAAUCACAGGUAUGCAUGUGGAUAUGUGUAUGCACUUAUAUUAUUUAUAAAAAUAUAAAUGUUGUAAAGUUUUCAGAAAAGAUCAUAAAAUGUUUUAAAAAAUCUAAUUUGCGCUCGAAUAACACUUCAACUUGAGCGAUCCACAUUUCUAUUCUGGAAUGAACAAUUAGAUGUUUGUACUGCAAUUAUCCUAUUCUUUCGGCUUUUAUAACAUAUAAUGGAAGUAGUCUUGUAUGAUAACGCUAAAAAAAUGUAUACGACGAAUAUUAUAUGUAUAUAUAUGUUUAAUUUGUUUACUGUUUGAUUUUAUAUAUUGUUUUAUUUAUUUCAUUCUAAGAUGUGUGAUUAAUUAUGCAGAUGCAUGUCGUGUUUUGUCAGUACGAUUGUAUAAACACGGCUGAGUAAAGUUGACAGGAGCAGAAACAGCUUGAUGCAUUGGGGAACAGUCAACAGCGUUGGAGAGCAUUAAGACUAAAGAUGUAGUUGAGAAAAAGUUAGCUGACAUGGAGAACUGGAAGCCAUUUGAAUUUUGUAAAAGAGUUACCUGCCAGGUAUCAAAAUGCUGACACUGACUGCUGUUCAAUGCUCUGCGAACAUUGUAAAGGCAGUAAGACAUGACAUGGACAGCUGCAGUGGAGACCCCUAAACUAUGGCUAGCAGGAAGGGACACAGAAAGCAUCCUGACUGUGUCUGCAUGCCUGUAAUUCCCUGAAGCCCUGUUAUUAAUAUAAUUUCAAUGUGAUUUUUUUUUACUUUUCUUUGGAAAUUAUUCCUAUAGUUUUGUUUGCAGUAAAGUCAUGUAUUACAAAUUAGUAAAGUCAUUUAGAGUGUAAGAUAAAAAAAAAUGAAUAAAUAAACUUGUAUUUGUUCCAAUACUCAGAGCCAUGAGUUCAAAUCCUGCCAAGGUCAACUUUGCUUUACAUCCUUUGUGGGUCAAUAAAAAUGAGCUGUGAGGCAGUCAGACCUGAUGCCUUACAUCUUUGUUCCAGCUCUUUGCAUUCUGAGUUCAAAUCCCACUUUGACCUACUUGCCUAGUAGACUUCAUCCAUCACUGAGUUUAACCCCUGGGAUUUUGGGCAAUUUAAGUGGACCCUAUUCUUCUGGAAGCAUUCAGGCGAGAAUUCCAAUUUCAAAAUACCUACCCCACCCCCAUUAAUCUUUGAGGCCCACUAAAGAGUCAUAGCGCUUCUCUACUAAUUUAAGUUGUAAAUAAAAACACCCAUUAUAUUUUUGUUAUUUUACUUUGCUUUUUGAUAAAUAUAGAUAUGUAUAUUUUGAGAAUUGCUGAGAUGUAUCAUCAUCAUCAUUUAAAAUCCAUUUUUCUAUGCUUGCAUGGAUCGGAUGAAUUCAUUGAGGCAAAUUUUCUACGGCUGGAUGCCCUUCUUGUUGCCAUGCUAAGGCAUCACUUUGAAGAAUUUUAGUUGAACAAAUUGACCCCUGUACUUACUUUUUUACAUUUGGUACUUGUUUUAUUGUUUUCUUAUGCUGAACCACUAAGCUACUGGGAUGUAAACAGACUAACACCAAUUGUCAAAUGGUGAUGACAGACACAAGUACAAAGAUACACAUAGACAAAUACAUUUGCAUACCGAUGCCAACUUCUCCUUCAUUGGGCACUAAACUCUGCUUGCGAAGACCUGUUGGAGCAAGUGAAAUCGAAAUUGUAAUUGAGCCAUAUUCGAUGACUAGAACCUGUGCCAGUAGAGCACCAACAGCACCGUCCGAGUGCGAUCAUUGCCAGAGCAACUGUCUGGCUUCUGUGGCACGUAAAUAGCAGCAUUUGAGCAUGAUCAUUACCAGCGUUGCCUUACUGGCACGUUAGAAAACAUUCGAUCGAGGUCAUUGCCAGUGCUGCUGGACUGGCUCUUGUGCAGGUGGCAUGUAAAAAACACCAUUUUGAGCGUGGCCGUUGCCAGUACUGCCUGAGUAGCCCUCAUGCUGGUGGCACGUAAAAGCACCCACUACACUCUCAGAGUAGUUGGCAUUAGGAAGGGCAUCCAGCUGUAGAAAUUCUGCCAGAUCAGAUUGGAGCCUGGUGCAGCCAUCCAGUUCACCAGUCCUCAGUCAAAUUGCCCAACCCAUGCUAGCAUGGAAAGCGGAUGUUGAACAAUGAUGAUGAUGAUAUAUAUGUAUGUAUGUAUAUAUGUAAAAUUUAAUUAGGGGUUAUGUUAACCUCAUGAAGGUAUGGUAUCCAAGGAAAUAAUGGUUCAGUGCCUAAUAUUUUUGGGGAAUGAAUUUCCUUAAAAUAGUUCUGCUAAAAUGAAUUCACAAACACAUAUAUCAUCCAAAUGUACAUCUUUUUCCCUCUGAUGAUAUUAUGCUCAUGUCGCAUAAUUGUAAAUUUGAUGUUUAUUGAGUAUUGACAGAAAUGGCUGUAAGUGAAGAUGACCAAUUUGCUGCUAAUAAUAAACAAUUAUUAACUUCUCAAUCUCCAUUUCCUUCUUCUUUUAAAUGAAUAUAAACUAUAUAUAUAUAUAGAUGAUGGGCUUCAUUCAGUUUCUGUCCACCUAAUCCACUCACAAAGCUUUGGUUGGUUCCAGGCUAUAACACAAAACACUUGUCCAAGGUGCCACAAGGUGGGACUGAACCCAGAACCGUGUGGUUGAAAUGCAAACUUCUUACCACACAGCCCUACUUACACCUAUAUGUUAUAUUCUUUUCUUUGUUGACACAAUUAACGUGUCCUGGGUACAAUAUGUUCUUUAAAAUCCUAGCAGAGAGAAAAUAAAAUAAUUUUAUUUCCAUUCUGAUGAGGCUUCGCUUAUUGCUGUAAAAUGAAAAACCUAUGGGGAACUAAUAGAAAUUAUAGCUUGGAAAUCUGGCACAAACAAAAAUCCGAAGACUCCAAUCGCUGGUAACACAAUAGUGCUAAUAAUAAAAUUAAAAUAUCUUCAUUU